rnacentral:rRNA from 1 species
AACGAACGCUGGCGGCAUGCCUAACACAUGCAGGUCGAACGAGACCUUCGGGUCUAGUGGCGCACGGGUGCGUAACGCGGGGGGUACUGCCUUUGGGUCUGGAAUAACUCGCCGAAAGGCGUGCUAAUAACGGAUGAUGAUGUAAGUCCAAAGAUUUAUCGCCCAAGGAUGAGCCCGCGUUGGAUUAGCUACUUUGUGAGGUAAAGGCUCACCAUGGCGACGAUCGAUAGCUGGUCUGAGAGGAUGAUCAGCCACACUGGGAGUGAGACACGGCACAGACUCCUACGGGAGGCAGCAGUAGGGAAUAUUGGACAAUGAGCGAAAGCCUGAUCCAGCAAUGCCGCGUGAGUGAUGAAGGCCUUAGGGUUGUAAAGCUCUUUUACCCGGGAUGAUAAUGACCGUACCGGGAGAAUAAGCGCCGGCUAACUCCGUG